rnacentral:rRNA from 1 species
ACGCUCGACACCUACGGGAGCAGCAGUGGGGAAUAUUGGGCAAUGGGCGCAAGCCUGACCCAGCAAUGCCGCGUGAAGGAAGAAGGCUUUCGGGUUGUAAACUUCUUUUGUCAGGGAAGAGAAGAAGACGGUACCUGACGAAUAAGCCACGGCUAACUACGUGCCAGCAGCCGCGGUAAUCUGAGCGGGCUGGCAAGGC